UCGGACAUGGUGUAUGGUACACCACCUCUCUUCAUAUGUAGGGUACAGAUGUGUUUGACGAGGCUGCUGGGGUUCGAUUCCCCAUGUCCGAC